rnacentral:lncRNA from 1 species
CCAUGGUCUUCAGAACCUCAACCAUGGACAAUGUAUCAUAGUUCGUCCGUUGCCAAGCUAAGUUCCUUGCCACCAGAUAUGUUUCUCUUUUAAAUUGAAAAAGUUCAAAUAGAAUAGAAUUUCUUCAUGAUCGCUCCAAUAGCGGUCCCACUUUAGCCACAUCCACCUCGAUGGCCGACCUCAGGUGAGAAGAUCAAGAGCAACACUUGGCGCUAGAGGAAGGAUUCUCGAUCAAUUUUAAAGUCCUAUUUUGAGAGAAGAGAGCUCACCACCAGCCACCAU